rnacentral:SRP_RNA from 1 species
CGCAGCCCCUCGCGUGGCGCUAUCUCACCCAAUCCCCCAGGGCCGGAAGGCAGCAAGGGUCAGUGGGCUCUAGUGGGUGCGCGAGGGGUCCUCACG